CCAACGGCCCUCUUUAGGGCCACAAAUAUUGAAAAAUUCAUAAAU
rnacentral:ncRNA from 16 species